GUUUUUUCAUUUUCUGAGACCGGAAGUGGUCAUCAGCAAGUGUGGAGCCAAACGACAACAAGAUUCUCAGAGGGCGGAGCCAGAGAGCAGCGAUUGGUCAGACCAUAGAUAAUAUAGAAGACAGCGCGCUAGCGUAUCUAGUAUUCUAUGUAUCUUUCUGAUAGCAUCUCUGGCUGCUGUUGAUCUUGUUUUCGGAGUAAAACACGGUGGAAGCUGAAUUAGUGAGGAUGACUCCUGCUCCUGUCAUCUCUAAGCUCCUCACACAUCUUUACCUGCACAUGAGGAAAAUCACUCCUGUAGAAUGCAGAUGCACAAUGAGGGACGUCUGCAGAGACUGAGAAAGAGUCUCACCACAUCCUGACAUGAGGAAAAAGACUUUAUUGAAGACUACAAUGAGAAAAACCAUCAGACGGCAUGCAUUCAAGUCUGUAGCUGCUGAAUUCAUGGAUGAAUCAUCUGGCACUAGAGAAGAAGACCAUCAAACAUCCACGUCAGCUGAUGGAGGUCCAAGAGUCUCACCGAACAACCAACCUACAGAGUGAAGACCUCAAAUCUGAUUGGACGGCCUCCUAUUCAGCCACGUGUGAACAAAUGCCUCUAAGUUGAUUUGUUUUCUAAAAUAAAUCUAGUUUGAGUCCUAAUCUAUGCCUGUGUGUUUGCUUCUUUACACUGCUGUUAACAGUUUAGGCUGUUAGAUUGUUCCAGAUAAGACAAGUACAAGAUUCUUCAGAGCCGUUCUACCACGAGCCUGACAGGAAGAACUCCAACAGCUACUGAAUGUUCCUGUGGUUCCCUCAAGGCUACAGGAGGAGUCCUACGAGGACGAGCCGGUCCACCUGAUGGAGGCCAGUCACUGCGGUUCAAAGCCAACACCGACUACGUGGACUUCUACUGGACCACAUGGAGGCCUUCAAACCGGACCAACAAGUUCAGCGACUCCCCGACUCGUGGGUCUGAGGACGCCGCCGAGCCUCGGCUCAGCCGGCCUCCUGUCUGUGGGUGUUUGAGUGCUGAGAGACCUGACUGUGAACACCGUUGACACCCACCUGAGGGAGACGUUGCCUAAGAUCUUAAGGCUGCUUGGUCGUGGUCUUUCUGGUCCUGCUCCAGAACGCCUUCAUCAACUACGUCUUCUUUUGAAGAGGCC
ensembl:lncRNA